AACGAACGCUGGCGGCAUGCCUAACACAUGCAAGUCGAACGAGACCUUCGGGUCUAGUGGCGCACGGGUGCGUAACGCGUGGGAACCUGCCCUUAGGUUCGGAAUAACUCCCCGCAAGGGGUGCUAAUACCGGAUAAUGUCUUCGGACCAAAGAUUAUUCGCCUUUGGAUGGGCUCGCGUUGGAUUAGCUAGUUGGUAGGGUAAAAGCCUACCAAGGCGACGAUCCAUAGCUGGUCUGAGAGGAUGAUCAGCCACACUGGGACUGGGACACGGCCCAGACUCCUACGGGAGGCAGCAGUGGGGAAUAUUGGACAAUGGGCGAAAGCCUGAUCCAGCAAUGCCGCGUGAGUGAUGAAGGCCUUAGGGUUGUAAAGCUCUUUUACCCGGGAUGAUAAUGACAGUACCGGGAGAAUAAGCUCCGGCUAACUCCGUG
rnacentral:rRNA from 1 species